UACGGAGGAUCCAAGCGUUAUCCGGAUUUAUUGGGUUUAAAGGGUGCGUAGGCGGAAUGGUAAGUCAGUGGUGAAAUCCUUCGGCUUAACUGAAGAAUUGCCGUUGAUACUGCCAAUCUUGAGUACAUUUGAAGUGGGCGGAAUGUGUCAUGUAGCGGUGAAAUGCUUAGAUAUGACACAGAACACCGAUUGCGAAGGCAGCUCACUAAACUGUGACUGACGCUGAGGCACGAAAGCGUGGGGAU
rnacentral:rRNA from 1 species